rnacentral:lncRNA from 1 species
UGCUGAAAUGUACAUGUAAGAAACAUGAUGUGGUAGUUUUGACCUAAUUGACUUUGUGUUGCUAAAUAGGUAGUCCAGUUUUUCCAUUGGAAAGCCUCUGAGUUCCCUACUUCCAAAUUUGAAACAGAAGCUAGCAAGGUGUUGCACUUAUCACAAUCACAAAAGGAGAAUAUUAGCAACCUGAAAUCUGUUUUUGUUAAGAAUAAUCAAUUAGCAGAGACUGUGUUCCGUCCUGUGAUCAUUAAUGAGAAGGAGCAGCAGUCCUUCAGCUGGGCCAAUUUUUCUGCUGCAGUUACAGCGUGGGAAGAUUAUAUCCGUAAGUUACAUAAACAAUUACUAAACAGCUUACCACACUGGAGAACUCAUCAAUCAAUUUUCAGCUGUCCAUUAGAUGAAUCUUUAGAAGGAACUUGAGUAUCAUGUUAGCUGCUUAGAAGUUAAUUGAAUUUUUAUCUUAUUUCACAUAUACUUCAAGUGGUGCAUUGUUUCUCAUUUUCACUAUUGCUUUUUAUAUGAUGGCUACACAUUCUUCUGUCUCCUAACACUAGUUAUCGAUUCUGAACUCCUAAGCAGCCUUGAGCGGUUCCUUAGGGAUGCUCCAUUUGUGCAGAAUGUUACCAUGAACGUCAUAAAAUAAAACAACAGCUUCAGAUCGAGUCAUUUUAACUGACAUAAAACCUUGACCAUCAUAGUAGAGCUUCAAUUCUUCAGGACUCCACCAAUUUCUAUCACCUCUCCAAGCCUUAGAGCCUCCUCCACUUGUUAAAAAUUCAAUUCCGUUGCUACUUAUAUGCUGCAAGCAGUGGUCGUGUCCAUUCACGUACAUAUCUACAUUAUUUUCCUGCAAAUGAAAAUACAGAUCAUCUUCUUUAGUUAAGUCAUGCAUCUUAAAACAUCAUUUUCUGAUAGAUGUAGCUAAAUUUUACACCUCAAGGAUUGGGAGAAGCCGAAGUAGGAGCUCUUUGGUGACACCAUGGUGUCCGGCACUUUUAAUUGUAUGGUGACCAACUACUAUUUUCCAUUUAGCUUUGGAAUUCUUCAAUGCACCAUCCACAUCCUACGCAUUUUGCAAAAUUGAAAACACACCCAUUGUAUUAUUUAAACUCAAAAGUUAUUAUUAUUAUUAUUUAAUAUUUUCCAUGUGAUUUUUAGGCAAAUUAUUAAGAUUACCUUUAAGAGAUCUGAAAGGUAUUCUUUGCGCCGGUACACUCCUCUCCAGUCGUAGGUGCUGUCUCCAGGGUCUUCAAAGUACUCAUCAACAAAUGGAGUUGUAUCCACAAAGACAAAUUCCGCAAUUUCUGAAAAAUUAAAAUGAAACAAAUUUAUCAGUCAUAAGCACAGAAUAAUUACCAAGUGAAGAAUCAUAAAAAGGAUAAAUUAGUAGUAGCAAUUAUACCUGCAUCGAGGAUAAAUGACCUCGAACAAAGCCAUCUGCUGUCCUUUCUAGUCAGCACAGGGCUCAGCUGUGCCUCGACAUCGCCUCUGUAGUCAUGGUUGCCCAGAACUGUCAAAGCCAAAACACAAUACAAAAUUAUUUUUACUUACAAUUGCAAUAAUGGAGAGAAAUAACAUAAAACUACGUACUAAGUCAUUUUGGUCGUUGAACUAAAAAUCAGUAAAAAUGACUUGAUUAGAAUUGGAACUCAGUUACCAUUGUACCACUGCUUUUGCAAGCUUGGAGCAGUGUAAAUGCUGGUGAACGAGUCUAAGAACGCUGGAUCCUCCUCUCCUGUCAACCCAUCUUCAUAAAAAUUAUCCCCAGUUGAGAUUACAAAAUCUAUCUCCAGUUUCUCUCCGAUUAAUCCCAUCUACAGAGUAUGAUUAAAAAGUUAAAAUGUUAUAUAGUUCUUUAUUGAAUAAAAUCUCGAGAAUAGGAGGAAACUAAAAAUAUUAUUCAACUCGAUCUUGCUCGUAUAUAUUUGACAUAUUGAAUUUAAUUAGCCAUUGCUUUCUUUAUUGCUGUCAAAUUUAGUUUGCUAAAAUUAUUAAAAUCAACUAAUAUUGAUUGAUUUGGAUAAAUUGCUAUCACGAAGAGACGUAUUGCACUUUCAAUCAAUAGAAAACAAGAAAGAACCCAAAAAAUAUGAGAAACACAUAAAUCAAGUGAGCUGUGUGUCAAUCUGCGACUUCAAUCAAUAUCGAAAUUAAUGCCAAAGAGUUAAUGGUUGUUUGAAUAACCACGUUUCUAUUAUUAGAGGAGGUAGGGUAUGUGUGCAUGAACUUCGUCGAAUCUCUAUUUAGGUCAACUGGCUUGGCGUGUCGUAUUAUUAUCACACGUGUUUUAUAUUUUUUCAAAGAAAUAGAAGGUCAUAAAUAAUACAAAAUAUAUUACAAUGUUAUAACAUAUCACAUUAUAAGAGAUUUUUUUCUUCUUAAAUGGAAACUCAAAAUAGCUGCUGUACGGCCAAUUUUUAUCGUUGCCUUUUGUCAUCGCCGUUGGUUGAUGAUUCAAGAGUGGAAAGCUGUCUUUAGUUUGACGAAAGAGGAGAAAAAAAGUUGCUUUUGGUUUGUAAAGAAGGGUAAUUUGAGGAGAAAAGCGUGUGUUUGGCUAAUGUUGAUAGAAAAAAGUUGAGAGGGUUAAUUGUGAAAAUAGCAAAAGUUUUAUGAUUAUUUUUAUAAAUUUCCCCACCAAAGAUUUUCUUUCUUUUUAUUCUAAGUUACACCAAAGACUCUUUGAAAUAGACAUUGUUGAGUCAAUUAUAUCAUUCACUUGUAAUAUUCACUCCACCCAUAGAUUUUUUUUUUUUUUCUCUUUCAAGCGGUUGAAGGUUUUGACAAUUACAGGCUCCUUUGCUGUGAAUAUAUAACGCAUGUAUAAUAUUAAAAAGCUGUAAGAAGAAAAUUCAAAAUAAUGUAGUCCUUCUUGACGACUAAUUAACACAAAGCCACCAGCUAUUGGUUAUUUGAAUUUAUGGCGGAAUCACACUGUGUUGUUUUUCUUCCUAUGUGCUCCGGUCGGGCGCCGCCACUAUUUGACCAGUAAUAAAUGGCCGCAGUUCGCUUCUCCUUGGACGUUGCAACAACUAAUAAGAAGGGUCAAAAUUCAUUUUCAAUGAUUUUAAUUUUUCACAUACGUGAAAACAAUGAUUUUAUUUUCCUCAUUUUGAUCAUUUCAAUGAAGAAUUUGACGAGCACACGCACUGUUCUUCUUCAUCCAAUCCGAACUCAUAAGUUUUGAAAACAACAAUCAAAUUUAGACAACUUUUCUAUCAGCAGCCUUGGUUAGUAUAAGCUGACAUCUCAUGGGUAAAAUUGAAGUUAACUGGCUGUCUGGCUGGCUUCAGGAAUUGCAAUACUUAGAAUUUACGUAAGUGAUAUCAUACAAGGAUCAAGAUUUCUAAUAGUUUGAAAUUUUUCUGAUUUGAAAUUGAUCUGGAAUUUUUUUGUGAGUAAGAACUAAAAAGCUCAUGUCACCAUCAGAUUUGAGCAAAUUAUUAAGUUAGCUCCGCUGUUGUGACUGGAAUUUAAUUCAAGGGUUUUUUCUUUUUUAAAUGAUCGAUUAUAUUGUAUGCAAUCCAACCGUCAACGGAUUGUAGAUACGCCAAAUUAUUGAAGAUUAAUUUGAGCUGCCUGAAAUUUGUGUUUUUGGUUUUAAUUAUUGGUUAUUCACCUAACGUUUUGACUUUUUUUUUUUUCUUUUUUACUUGUUUCACUAAUACACGAUUAUUAAAAACAUUGGAGGCGGCGGCAGUAGUUGUCCGACUCUAAGAAAUAUUGGUCAAUUGGUUAAUAAGAUACCGGAUAAUCUUUGACAAAUUUAGGUCAUGUUUGGUAUUAAUGCAAUACGACUUUUGAGGUACAGUUGAUAUAAAGAGAAAGCUGUAAUUCUGAAAUAAGAGUUUAUAAUACGUAAUAAGUAUAAUUUUUAAAUAAUAAUUUUGAUAAAAAAUAAGAUGUUAUAAAUUUUCAUUAUGUAAAUGUGAGAUAAAAUUAUUUUGAUUUUCAAAUUACAUGUAUUUAUCAAAUACUUUAGUGUUAUAAUUUAAAAAAACUAUAGUUAUCCAACUGCAAUACCAAACAAAAUAUUAUUGUGCGACUUUAAAAUAUUUUUUUUAUAUGAAGUCAUGUCACAAUUUUGAGGGUCGAGAUAUAAAUUCAUAUAUAUUUAAUUAUGGCUUGUGAAUUGUUUGUUUCCAUGAAUUUAAUUAUACUUCGAAAACAAAAAUGGCCAUGACAUUUCAUUAUUGUUAAUAUUGUCAUGAAAUUUAUCAUAUGGAAGAUGGAUUAUUCAUCACUUAUUAGUGUGAUUGCUUCUCAUAACUUUCAAAUUCUAGCCAAGAUUUGAAGCUAGUAAUUAAAACAAGAAUUUUUAGAAAAUAGGCAAAGUCAAGUCAGUUGUGCAAGGUAUACCAUUCACCUUUUUAUAAGCACAAGAAAAUACCUUCUUUUCUGGCACCAAUUUUUAUAAUAUCAUCACUGAUUUUGAGUGAAUACAUUUAUGUUUUUUUUUUUUGUCUUUUUUAAUCAACAUAAACAUUGAUUUCACAUAAUUCCAAAUAGAAUAUGUGUGUGUGGGUGUAUAUAAUAUAAUACAAUAACUGAAUAACACAUCCGCAGCACUCAACAGUCAUCUAUUAUAAUAAUCAAUUAGACUAUUUUGACCGAAUACUGAAAACAGUGUCUGCAUAAAUAUUAAAAACUGUAACAAAUUUUGGGAAAAGUGGGAGAGUGGAUUUGGAAGAAUGUUUAUUCGUAUCCGAGAAAUUAUCUUUAUACCAUCUAUAUUUUAUCGGGUAAAAUUCUGUUUAGUCUUUAUAUUUUGAUAUUAGUACUUAUUUAGUCUUUAUAUUUUAAAAAUACCUCAAAACAUUAUUACCGUUAAGUGUUGACACUUGACACACUUACUGUUACUUUUUGUUCUUUUUGACUUACUUUUACAAUAUUAUCCUUGUACAAUAAUAUUUAUUCUUUAUUGAAAAUUAAUAAAAAAUUAAAUUAUCAAAUUAACCCAAAAAAGUAAAAUAGAAACAAAAAAAUUUAUAUUAAUUUUUUGGAAUACUCCAUGAGGAGUUAAUAUAUAUAUUUUUAUUAAUGUCCAAAAAAUUAAUAAUUAAUUUUUUAAAAUUUUUUCUUACAUAACUUCCACAAAGAUUAAUAUAUAUUUUCUUUGUUUUCAUUUUUUGGGUUAAAUUGGCAAUUUUAUUUUUUAUUAAUGUAAAAAAAAUUACAAAAAAGUAAUAUUGUAAACGUAAGUUAACAGGAAUAUAAAGUAACGGUAGGCUGUCAAUAGUUAAACGACAAUGAUGUUUUGAAGCAUUUUAAAAAAAUAUAAGGAAUAAACAAACACUAACCUUAAAAUAUAGGGACUAAAUAAGCUUUUACCCAUAUUUUAUCAUAUGUAUUAUAAAAUUUUGAUAUAAUUUUUGCACUACUUUUGUUUUAAGCUUAUAUUAGUCAAUUACUUUAACAAUAAAAAUUACUGUUUUACCCCUAAUUAAAUUAAAAAGCUAUUUUAUUCUUUAAAAAUUAAAAAAAUUAUGAUUACAAAAAUACCCCUAAAUUUAUUAACAUAAAUAAAUCUCAAAUCCUAUAUGUUAAUUUUUUAUAAUUAUAAUUUAAUUUGAAAAAUUAUCACAUUGAUUUCUUUUGUGAUUAUAAUUUCAUUCAAUUUGAAUAGGGAAGUUUCUUAGUAUUAAUUAUAGAGAAGUUUAAAAUAAUUAUAUGAUGUUUUUCUCUUCAUGUUAAUUUUUGUAACUUCCCUAUUCUUAAUUUAGUUACAAAAAUAAAAUGAAAUUAUAAUUACAAGAUGUUAAUUUUUUUAAUUAUAACUUUAUUUAAAAAAUAUCGUCAUAGAUUUUGAGCUUUAUUUAUUUUAUUGAAUUUAGUGGUAUUUUUGUAAAUAUAAUUUUUUAUUUUAAAAAAUUUUGUAGAACAAGAUAAUGUUUUAAGUCAUUUGAGGAUAAAAUUGUUAUUUUUAGUGUCAAAGUGAUUGAUUGAUAAAAACUUAAAAACUAAGACAGUACAAAGAAUAUGUCGAAAUUUUGUAGUGGUUAGAUGUAGAGUGCAAAAUAAUUCCCCUUCAAAUGCCUUUGAAAAAAAUAAUUAAAAAAAAUCAGUUUUCUAGUUGAAACCAAAACUUAAUUGGGCCAGCCCGUGGCCUUGUACUUUGUUUGGUCCAUCUAAUAGAUAAUUAAUUUAGUGAAUACUUUUUGUUUGGUUAUCAAAUAUUGAAUAGUUAUUAUGUUAUAAACAAAUUCGCAUGUCAUAAAACUCAGAAUACGAAUCCAAUUAGAAAACUAGUAACACAAAUUCAACGUAAUUAAUAUUUAUGUGAUUUUAGGCUAAUUCAAAUCCGCUAACUUUAUGUUGUGCUUGUGUUUAUAUAGCAAUUCAUAAAAUAGAGCUAUUUAUUAUACUUUAAAAUACACUUACUUUGAACACCUUUUUAUAUAUUUACACGCUGAAAUGUACUCAAAAUGCAAUCGCAUUCGCAAGUAAAAUUAUUUUUCAAAUUUUAUUAAUGUGGGAAGAAACUUCUAUAGAAUAAAGCUGUGGGGGACCAAAAUUGCACACAAAUUUAGGAAAUUUUGCCCCAAUAUCUGAGUGCUCAUUAAUGAAAUUUUAUAAUGUGGCAUGGGCAGAUACUCUCCAGAGUCGGGAGACCACCCUAUAAGAGAAUCAAUACCAGCGAUAAAAAGUUUUGGAAGGCUCUUCUAAAUGAGAUAGUAAUUUUCCCUCUUCAAUAUUAAUGAUUGGCUUUUUUCCGUAAUAUUAUACUAUUAUUUAUCAUUAUUAUUGAAAAAAAGAAAAAUAUUUAACUAUACUAUUAAAAGGGUAAAAUUUCACUUGGUUUCUAUAUUUUAAGAUUGGUGCUCAUUGAAAAUUGUUGUAUAUAUAUUUAUUUUAUUUAUUAGAUUAAUUUUAUAAUUUAAUUUUUAUUAAUAUAAAAAAAAUACUAUUGUAAAAGAGUAUCAUUGCAAAGUAAAUAAAAAGUAACCGUGAGGGUAUCACUAAUUUAAUAAUUAAGAUAUUUUGAGAUAUUUUUCAAAGUAUAGGGAUUAAACGGGUAUUUAAACUCGAAAUCUAUGAACUAAAUGUGUUUUUACUCUUAUUGAAAAAACAGAAAGUAGUUAAGUUUAAUGAAAAAAGAAUUUAUUAAAAUAAUAUAAAUUUAUUUCUAUUUAAAGUAUUUUUUGGAGAGAGCUUAUUUUUAGUCUCUUCUAUUUGCCACAUAAAUAAAUAAACAUAUAAGCAUUUGAAUUUUGAAAAGUAAAAUCGGAUAAGUUUUUUGGUGUGCUCUGAGACCAUAACCAAAAAAGAGAUAGAUUAUAUAUGAAAACUCCACAAAUUUGUGCUGGUUUUUGCAAUUUUGAUGAUGGGGAUCUAAUUAUUUUUAUUUCUAUCAACUUAAUAUACAUCCAGGCUAAUCUAAUUUGAUCCUAGUGUUAAACAUAAACGAUAAUAGACAUUUUAACAAAAGAAGUAUAGGAAGAUUUGAAACAAUCACAUUUCUUAUAGAAACUAACCACAUUUCUUAUAAAGAGACAGGCCACGUCCCUGUAAUAAAGAUCAAAUUUCUUUUUAUUUUAUAUAUAUUAGGUUAAAUAAGAUAGUUAAAGAAAAAUCUUCCUAAAUUAUUUGUAUUACUAAAAUACCAAGUUACAUAUAUCCUUAAAAUAAGUUAACAUCAAUAGUGGAUCAUGUUUAACGCUUGUCAUCUCUCCAAAUUUUUAAUUUGGUGGUUCUCUCUUUCUAAACCCUGUUAAAAAUUCUCAAUUCCCAAUUUCCACUUAUUUAUUUUUUAGCUUCUUUAUUUAUUUUUCAAUUGAUAGUUUGAAUUAUUUUUGGAUUUUGAUAAUUGAUUACGAUGAAUGUUGCUUGUAUCCUUUUUUUUCUUAAUUUUUCAUUGUAACUGAUUGGAGUCUAACCUCUAUAAACAAUAGUUUAUACAUUUAUACAUAAAAAUAAAAACAACUAUUUUCCUUGCUUGCGCUUUUGAAUUUUUUUUUUUUGGUUCAUUAUGUUAAUAAAUACUUACUAAAAUUAGAAGAUUUUGAUAUUUUUUUUUUGUAGUAAAUUCUUUGGCCCAUAUACCCAAAGUUUAAUUUUCUCUCUAUCUUAUGAUUAACUAUUUUGAAAAUAAGUUUAGCUGUAUAUCAAUGAUAAGGAUGGACAUAUGGAUGACUUACGUGCUUACUACAUGUAAGUUUUUCUGCAAUCUUAAUUAAUCAACUUAGGUCCAAUUUGAUAAUACUGUAAUUUUUAAAAUAAUUGUUGUUAGUUGUGUUAUACAAAUAAUCAGCUGUGAAGAGAAUCAAUCAAAUGUUUGGUAAAAUUUAUUUUUAAAGGUACUAUAAGUUUUAAAAAGUCCUCUUAUAUAUUUAGUAAAUCUUAUAAUUAAAUUUAUUGAUGUAAGAAUACAAAGAAUUGAAUUGGGCAUAAUAUUGAAUAAAAUUUAUUUACAUAUUUGUAAACAUGUAUAUGAAAUGCUUUUUUUAUUGUGCAUAUAUAAUAAUUGAUAAAAAAUAAAUAUUUAAUAAACUAUUAAUUUUAUUUUUUAUUUUGUUAUCCCAUUAUUUGGUUAUAAUAAUCUGCUGUACCGUACANNNNNNNNNNNNNNNNNNNNNNNNNNNNNNNNNNNNNNNNNNNNNNNNNNNNNNNNNNNNNNNNNNNNNNNNNNNNNNNNNNNNNNNNNNNNNNNNNNNNNNNNNNNNNNNNNNNNNNNNNNNNNNNNNNNNNNNNNNNNNNNNNNNNNNNNNNNNNNNNNAAAUUUAACAAUUUUAUUUCAUUAAUUAAUAAGGAUAAUUUAAAAUUUUUAUAUGGAAUUGUAUUAAUUAUAAAAGUGAUUUUCAAAAUUAGAUUUUCAAAAGUUAUUAUUCUUCCCCAGUUUUCAAAAUAUGCAUUGAGUGAUUUUAUCAAAAAUAAUUUUUUAAAAAACUUUACCAAACACUAAAAUUAUCUUUUAAUUUUUUCAAAAUCAUUUUCAUGUCCCCGAAAAGUAACUCCAAAUGGACUCUUAACAAAUAUCAGUAACGUUAUAUUCACUUAGUUUGUAUCUUAACUGAUGUGGCAAAUAAUGUGUCAUUAUCUUAUUGGUUCAAUUGAUAGAUAAUUAUGAAGUUUUAUCAUUCUUAAUUUAAAUAAUGAGUUUUUAUUAGUGACAUGUCAAUUAAAAAACAAACGCGACCUAAGUAUUCCAACUAAAUAUCCAUAAAAUCACUUAAAAUAUAUUAUUAACAAAUGAAUAUUGGUUUAAGAAUCUUAAAAGACUCACACGUAAGAUACCAUUAUGCUAUUGCAUAUUGAUCACACAAUGAAUCAGAGUACUAGAUGAUUUAGACUCCUGAUAAACAGUUAUUAAGUUUUUUUUAAAAAUUACUUAAAAAGAAAAAAGAAACUUCGAAAAUGAUAGGAUUAGCUCACAUGCAUGAACUCCUCAGCAAAAGUGACUAACCCGAAACUAAACGGGAAGCGAGUGUAAACACGAGGAAACUGGACGAUAUUAAAUUUAUAUCCCGAAAAUACCCUUACAAUUUACAGAAUAUUUCGUUGUGGUCCGGUACACACUAAACUCAAUUAAGCUCGCAACAAAACGAGUUAUUGGAAAUUGUAGGCGCAGCCACCAUUUAAGACUCACAAGCGAACUCAUCAGUGCUACGGCACAUUACGUGAUGCGUGUUCAAUAAGCCAAACCCUAGAUCUCUCUAAGAUCUCAGAUCUCCUCAAUUCCACUUCCAAUUUCGUUUUUUCUUUUUAAUUAAACACAGAUCUAUCUCUACACUGCACAUUGUUAUGAUAAUAUUGACGUCGAACUAAUCGGAAAAAACAAAGUUAGAAUUUUUUCUUUUUUUGUUUGUAUGUGCGUGCUUAAUUAUUAGUUUUAAAAAAAUGGCAAUGCCUGAGAAAAUGCAGCAGUUGCCGGCGGACGACCCGUUUGUGAUGUGGUUACGGGGCGAGUUUGCGGCGGCGAAUGCGAUCAUCGACACGCUGUGUCAUCACCUGCGGGUGAUUGGCGAGCCAGGGGAGUACGAUUUCGCCAUUAACUGCAUUCAGCAAAGGAGGUGCAAUUGGAACUCGGUGCUUCAUUUGCAGCAGUACUUUUCUGUUAGUGAGGUAAUGUUGGCUUUGCAACAAGUCGCUUGGAGGAAACAGCAGAGGUCUUUUGAUCAUCAUCAUCAUCAUCAGCAACAGCAUCAUCUUAAUAGAACUAAGAGAUCUGCUUUUGUUAAGAAGGAUUUUCAUAAUAAUAAUAAUAACAACAAUCAUGCCUUUGAUUCCAAUUCGUCAGCUUUCGAUGAUAAAAAAGGUAACUUUUUUCUUUUAUUUUUUUUCCUCUUUUGUUGCCAUAUAUGUAUUGGUACGUUUUCUCUAAUUAGAAAACUGGAUUUUGUUCUGGUUGGUGGUUAUUUAGCUUGUGGGCACAUAUGGAAAGUACAUCAAUUAAUAUUUAUGUACAUAUAGCAAGUAUUGGACACAUUUUUGGAGGACAUAUUGUUAUUUCAUUGUGUGUGUAUUGGAGCAGAUGUUGUUAUGAAAGCUCAUGAUGAUGGAAGCGCAAAGAGUUUAGGAAAUUCAGAAAUCACCCAGGUUGGUGAUGCCGAACCUAAAGCUGAGGCAUUGGAUGAUGGAUGCACACCAGGCCUUAAAGGUAUGCCCUUUUCUUUUUGGCUUGGGAGUUGGGGGGUGGGGUGAUUCUGCUUGUUAGAUGGUUCUUUACAAUUUGCGUUUAAAGUUUAAUUGCCAUUUUGUUUGGAUCUAAAUGAUAAAUUGGACAAUUAUCUUCCAUGAUUGGGCACUAAACAGCUGCUAGUUUGUGUACUUGUACAAUGUGAAAAUUGACUGUUGUUGGGCACAACGGUUUGAUGUUUAACUUGUGUUAUUUUUGUACUUACUUGGAUUCUGUAUUUAUGGUUCCCCUAGAGAAUGAUUCACAAUCCGUCCAAAGUCAGAACGAGAAGCAGAAUCAAUCUAUGGCUGCAAAAUCUUUUGUUGGUACAGAGAUGGUGGAUGGCAAGAUGGUAAUGCAAAUUGAUUCAUGUAUUGUAUAUAAUGUUAUUGUUUCUCUUGCUUCUUCCCCUUUUAACAUCUGCAUGUUUUCAUCUCAAGGUAAACGUGGUCGACGGACUGAAAUUGUAUGAAGAAGUAAGUGGUAAUUCAGAAGUUUCAAAACUGGUUUCAUUGGUUAAUGAUUUGAGAACUGCAGGGAAAAGAGGACAAAUUCAAGGCAAGUUCACUGCUUUUUUCAAUUUUUUUUCUUUUACAAAUCCGAGUAUCCCUUUCUCUCUAGAGGUCUUUGCACUUUCCCAGAACUGUAUAUGAUCCUCAAAAAGUUCUUUUUUUACUUGGAAACAUUUAGUGCACCUUAUAUUAGAUAACUUUUGUCUGUUUUCUGUUAUUGGAUUUUAACCCCCAAUGCCUGGCCCUGGAGUGAUUAUUAGGGUUUUCAGAGUAUAUAUAUACAAUGUUACCCUAAAUGAUAAUUGUUGAGACACUGAAUAGGAAAUUCACUGUUCUUCUACUUUAUUCUUAUUAACAAAGUUAUUUGUUUCUUAUUAAAGAUGAAUGUUGCUUCCUUUGAAUAAUGGGUUACCAUGGUCAAAUGAUUCUUCUGAUGUAUAAGGAUAUGUCCAUCUUUGGGCAGCACAACAAAGAAAAUACUUUUUCAUAAGGCUUUUAGCUUGAUUUUUAGUCUCUUUUGAUUACCAUUUUGGGCUUUAAUCAGUAUCAUAGGUGUACAAACCAUGUGAGCCAAUCUAUUUUGCUUAAGCUUAGAGUGUCCACUCUGAUGGAGCAUGUCCUUCCAUGUUUAAGUGCUAUAUAUCUGUAGUAUUUACUCAUGAAACGUUCUGGGAUUCUGUUUCAACACCUUUGCUGCCUGCGCCUUAGGUUUGCAAGUUUCUUCUUAGUAUCAAGAGAAGGGAAGUCAAUUUAGGUGUAUUUACUACAGUCUACUGACAGUUUGUUAUUAAGAGUUUUCCUAAUAAUUUUACUGGGGAGAAAUCUAGGGUUGAAAUUCAAUGGUAUGGCCAUCAUUGUGCUAGUGUUGGAAAUACCGUUUAAUAUAUGUCAGUAAUUUGUCACUUUUGCAGAAUCCUAAAGCUGUUUGUCGUGUAUGCAGUGUGCGCCCGCAAAAUCCAGAGCUAAAUCUUGAAAGUGCUACAAUUGUUGCUCCUACAGUUAUUUUUAAUAUUAAAACUUUAGCAUUGAUCAUAAACUGUUGCAAAGUUCAAGAUGUGCUCAUGUGAGUGACAAGCAGCCUGCAGUUGAGCUGAUGCUUGUGUGUGUUAGUUUCUAUGAUUUCAUCUAUUUUUACACAAUAUUAUGAACAGCUUUCUCUGAAGCCUUGUAAUGUGUGUCAAAUUGUAAAAGUAUGUAGUACUUGAAUGUUAAUAAUUGCCUAAUUUUUGUUCAACAAGAAACAGGUCCGGCAUAUGUGGUCUCAAAGAGGCCCAUAAGGGGACAUGGAAGAGAGGUGAUUCAACUGGGCCUCCCUAUUGUAGAUGGCCCUCCUGAAGAUGAAAUUGCAGCAGGGACCUCGAGAGGCAAGUUCCAGUUCUGGAUUAAUUCAAAAAGUACUUUGUUUAUGUUCCUUUUUCGUUUCUGAAUAACGAAGAAUUGCUAACCUUGUUUUGCACUUAUAAAUCAACUUUUUAGACCGGAGAAUAGAACCCAUACCUUCCUUGCUUCAAGAUGUUAUUGACCGGUUAGUUGGCUUGCAAAUCAUGACAGUGAAGCCGGACUCUUGCAUCGUUGAUGUCUUUAAUGAGGUUUUGUAAUUUUGAUAUUGUGCUUAAUGAUUUAAGAUAAAUGUAAAAAGUGAGAGAAGCUAAGUUUGUGAUGAUUCUGCAGGGUGAUCACUCACAGCCUCACAUUUCACCAUCUUGGUUUGGAAGGCCUGUUUGUAUCCUGUUCCUGACUGAGUGCGACAUGACAUUUGGCAGAAUGAUCGGAAUAGACCAUCCUGGUGAUUAUAGAGGCACUCUCAGGCUUUCUGUUGCUCCCGGGUAUUUGUUAACUUCCCUUUCUCUCUGAGUUUCUCUGCUUGUUGCUGUUUGUAAAUAUUGGCAUCAAUAUUCAUUCUCUAGAAAAUGCCACCCUAGUUUUUGAUCUUUUUGUGGCGUGCGUCAAACUUGGCAAAUAUCUGGAAGUAGGUUAAUUGUCAAGUAUUUAGUCAUAGUCAUAACAGAAGCUGAUAGACUGAUAGUCCCAAUGAACUGGUCUGAGGUGCCAUAUCUUAUACAGUGGCCUUCUGGAAACCAUUUUUCAGUGAUGUUACUAACUCAUGGCCCAAAAAUACGACUGCUUUAUUCUGCUGUCUGAAAAACUUGAAAUAAUCAGCCAAUGUACUAACAAAUAAUCAGAUAUACUGAAAGGAGGUUUUUCCUAAUCGGGACCUCCUCAGACGGUAUCUAUACCGGCUUUAUCAUUAUCCUUCUUCAUCACAAUACCGAGCUCCUCUAGGUGCUUUAAAAUUGUCCUUAAUAUGAACGAAUGCAGUGCGCGCUAUAAGCAACACAUUAGAAUUUAUUUUCUGAUCUGUUAGAUUUAUUUUUUAUUUUUUGAGAUUCCCCUUUAAGGUUUGACAUUUGUGGUAUUCUCUCAAUUUUGUGAGAACACAGAUCUCUGCUUGUGAUGCAAGGAAAAUCUGCAGAUAUUGCUAAGCAUGCAAUUUCUUCCAUUCGAAAACAACGAAUUCUUGUUACCUUUACUAAGUCUCAACCAAAGAAACUGACACCUACUGAUGGCCAGCGUCUUGCUUCACCUGGAAUAGCCCCAUCACCCCACUGGGGUCUGCCACCUGGUAGACCUCCGAAUCAUAUACGCCAUCCUACUGGCCCCAAGCAUUUUGCACCAAUUCCAACAACUGGCGUACUGCCAGCUCCAGCAAUUAGGGCACAAAUUCCACCAACGAAUGGUGUUCCGCCCAUUUUUGUUAGCCCACCAGUUACCCCGGCAAUGCCUUUUCCUGCACCGGUUCCCAUCCCACCUGGUUCAACAGGAUGGACUGCAGCACCACCAAGGCAUACUCCUCCUCCUCCACCUCGCCUUCCUGUCCCUGGAACCGGGGUUUUCCUUCCUCCACCAGGUUCUGGUGGUUCAUCAUCUCCUCGACAAGUAUCAAGUGCUGCAACUGAGCACUUAAUCCCAGAAAUGGGUUCCCAAGCAGAGAAAGAAAAUGGUUCAGGGAAAUCUAAUCAUGAGACAAAUGCUCCAAAAGAGAAAUUGGUUGGGGAAACACAAGGGCAAGGCUGCAAUGGUAGUGUGGACGGAACUGGUAGUGUUAAAGCAGUGAUGAAAGAAGAAAACCAACAUCAAAGUGUCGAAGAUACUAGUGUAGCAGGCAAGGAUAGCUAGUGCAGUUUAAAGAAGGGAAGAGGGAGCGGACUGUUAAAUUGGUUGAGGGGAGAGGAAAAGGAUAGGCUGAAGAUUGCAAAUGAGUUUGAAGCAAAUGUAAAAAGCGGCUGAAAAUUCAGGACUUUUGACAUUUACAUAUUCUACCACUACUGUCAUCAAUCAUGGCUCAUGGGACAAAGAUGGGAGGAGUAACUAGUCGGUUCUUUUUGCAAAAUCCAUUGUUCCUUUUAUCUUUGUGGCUGUCACGUAUUAUACAUAUAAUACAUAUACACACGUGAACUCUUUCUUACACUUGGUGGAAAACUCAUUCUUAAUUUAGUUGUUGCUCAUUUUUCUCCCAGAUAAAAGUUUUGUUGGCGAAGGACUGAUUUUUUGUUUAUUAAGUAAUUCACUUUCUGCUGGCCGGGUAUGCUGAUCUUGGGUUGGUGUGUUCUUUCGGCCGCGUCCAUAUUGUAUAAAAAUAAUACUAUCUACAGAACAACGGCCAUACAGCAGAUACAACCACGAAUGUGCAAUCCAAGUUUCUGGUUACAUACAAAGCUCUAGAUUUGUUUUUUUCCCUUCGUAAGUGAUAGUUGUCAACUUCCUUCAGUCCGAUUUUAUUACAAAUUCAAUUUUUUGAAAGAACUCGAUUAAAAAAAAAAAAGGAAAUGAAAAAGAAUUCUAUUGAAAGGAACUGGGUGAUGAUGGGAGGAGAUGGGAGAAACGGAUUUGGGCUUCUUCAUUGAAUUUUGAGUGAGGCCCAGGUAGAAUUUCAAUUUCUUUAUCAUCUACACUUUACUUAAUAGAUAAAUACGAGUGUGUGCGCCUCUCUCUCUCUCAUUGUAGGCUAUUAAUCAAUUAAUGUUAAUGAAUUAAUUAGCAAUGGCGACGGCGGAGACGGAGAGUGAGCGAAGGAGAGUAAUAGUGAGGAAUAUGCUGAGCAAGGAGGAAUGCGAGGAAUUAGAAUUGAUACACAAGAGCUGCAGCACAGUCGGGUACAGGCCCAACGUAUUCUCGACAACACUCUCUCACCUGAUCGCCACUAAUUCUUCUCACUUCAUCGUCCCCUUUGUUCCCAUCCGAGGUCAGACUGACUCUGACUCACCUCUCUUUUCCUUCUUCUUCCUCUAAAGCAAAACACAAAAACAAAAUCAUAUUUUGCAUCUGCCUUUAUGUUAUUUAUUAAUCUUUCAAUGGCAGAGCGAUUGAAAGAAAAGGUCGAGGAAUUUUUCGGUUGCGAGUUUGAGCUCGUUAUUGAAUUCACCGGCUUAAUCAGGUUCAUUCAUUUUUUUUUUAAUGAUAUUAGAUUAGAUUAGAGUAUAUAAAUAAAUAGAUAAAAUAUAUAUAAUAAUGCAUUAUCAUCAAUUACUAAUUAGUAAAUAGCAGCUGGGCAAGAGGAGCAAGUAUUGGAUGGCACUGCGAUGACAACCGCCCCUAUCUCAAACAACGCCACUUUACGGUCUGUCUGUUUGUUACUCUGUUUAGCUAGUUAGUUAUAUCUCUUCCCUUUGUUGUGCUCACUUCUCCUCACAAUUUUCGAGUUUCUGUUGUUCUAAAAUAAAAAAGGCAGUCUGUUAUUUGAAUAGUUAUGGGAAGGAUUUUCAAGGAGGGCUUUUUAGGUUCCAGGAUGGGGAAACAAAAAAUUUUGCUCCCUCGGCUGGAGUAAGUGCUGCCAUCACAAUGCUUCUUAUAAUUUUUUUUUUUUUUUCCUUCAGUAAAUAGAUUUCAAUAUAAAGAUAUAAAACGGUGUGGGUAUGCUAAUAUGAGAAUUCUUAAAAACCGAGCAUCAGUAUGACAAGUUACAAGGAUACGUAUUUCCACUAUGUAGAGUUUUACUGAUUGCUGUGGUAGUCUCUCAAACUUAUAUUCAAUUGAGCACUUGAGGCUAGUUGUAGGUUGUCAUAUAAGUUUUAGUGAUGCAAGAUUUCAUGCUCAUUGAAUUAUUGUAUUCCAGGAUGUUGCGAUGUACACAGCUGACAGCCGCAAUGUUCAUUCGGUUGAUGAGGUUAAUGCUUUCUAUUCUCCUCUGUAGUCUUUUACUCUCUUGGUGUACUGUAUUCCAUUCUUUUUGGUUAAAAGAUUGUCGUGCAGUUAGAGAACGCAUCCAUCUCUCUCUCUCUCUCUUUCUCCCCCCCUCUCUCUAUUCUCUCAGAUUUCAUUGUGGGUUCUGCAGAUUGAUUACUGUUUGAACUAGGGAGAGAUUGAUAAUAGGGAUGUUUAAUUUAUGCAAUGACACCUAUUAGGAGAACAUUGUUUAAUUUAUGCAAUGACACCUAUUAGGAGAGCAUUCAUUCAUAAAGAAACUUUGUGUAAUUAAUUAGCACAUUACUCUGGAUUAUAACUCGGACAAUAAUCUUCUUUAUGGUUAAAUCAUAACUGGGUAUUUUUUAUACUUAUUUUGUUUCUGAGCCAAAAAAAUAAUAAUGAUAAUAAUAAACUAAAAAAAUCAAAACUUUUUUUUUCCUUCUAUUUGGCAAAACCAGAGCGAGUUAUACUUUUUAUCUUUAACAGACUAUCAAUUGAAUCUCAUGCUAUACAUCCAUUUCCAGGUAACUCAUGGGGAGAGACUUACUCUUACUUUAUGGUUCAGUCGUGAUAGUUCCCAUGAUGAGGAUGCUAAACUUAUUUCCAUUCUCUCACAAAAACUUCUCCAUAGGUCAGAUAAGGUGCCGCAGUUGUGCCUACCAUUACCAGCAUCAAGUAAUAUGUACUGGUUUAGUCCCAAUCAGGCUUCUCCUGAUGAGUUGGGAUGUAAUAUAUGCUGGGCAAGAAUGGAUGUCCUUGGUUAUGAUAUUUAUUAUUCUCAAAACACAAGCAGCGCCUUGGAUUGCUCAGAGCUACUGUUGGAGCCAUUGCAAUUAGCUAGGGGAGAUAACUUGUUCCACCAACCAUUUGCCAAUAUUUUGCAUGCACUUCAGGUAUUUCAACUGUUUUCCCUUGAAAACAUGUUUUAUUGUUGGCAUUCAGAAGAUUGGAUUUGCCUUUACGUAAAUAGAUUUGAAGCACUAUAAUGGAAUCGGUAUGCUUUAUCCAGUCUUCAUGUUAAAAAAUUUAAAAGCUAUGAUUUUUCUGUCUGUCCCCAUUUUGGUCCUCUUUUCCGUGUCUUACAGAUAUCGAUUUAAUGACUAAAUACUUCAAAUUGGGAGCUGCAUGGUGUUGCUUUACCAUUACUGCUCUCUGUGUUUUAAGAAUAUUAAAGGAAUAUAUGUAACCAAGAAAAUUUGAAUAACUCUAGUUCUCUUAAUUUACAUGUUAGGGAAUGUAUUAAUUGCACCUUCUCAGUAGGUGAAAGUCUUAGGUGCUUUCUUUCACAGUGGUGUCUGGUGUGGUAGAAGGACUAAUGACUUUCACAAUAUUUUAUUGCAUGAUUCCUUUGGAAAUAUUUAAUCUCUUUAACAUAGAACACAUGGUUCUGUAAUGCAAAUAUGCAUUAUGCCUGCUGAAAUGUACAUGUAAGAAACAUGAUGUGGUAGUUUUGACCUAAUUGACUUUGUGUUGCUAAAUAGGUAGUCCAGUUUUUCCAUUGGAAAGCCUCUGAGUUCCCUACUUCCAAAUUUGAAACAGAAGCUAGCAAGGUGUUGCACUUAUCACAAUCACAAAAGGAGAAUAUUAGCAACCUGAAAUCUGUUUUUGUUAAGAAUAAUCAAUUAGCAGAGACUGUGUUCCGUCCUGUGAUCAUUAAUGAGAAGGAGCAGCAGUCCUUCAGCUGGGCCAAUUUUUCUGCUGCAGUUACAGCGUGGGAAGAUUAUAUCCGUAAGUUACAUAAACAAUUACUAAACAGCUUACCACACUGGAGAACUCAUCAAUCAAUUUUCAGCUGUCCAUUAGAUGAAUCUUUAGAAGGAACUUGAGUAUCAUGUUAGCUGCUUAGAAG